AUGAAUUUGGAUCCUGUCCUACACUUGCUGUGUGAUUUUGGGUCCUCGUGAAGUCUUAGAAAUCAAAACACAUUUCAUCUCUUCCAGGAAGACAUUCCUUAAGAGAGCUGACAAGACAAUGUUCAAAAGUCAUCCCCUGUCCUAUCACUUACAAGAAAAAUUUUGCUGACGUAGGAUAAUGCAUCAAGAUUGUCUCAGAAUACUGCAAAUCGGCUAUAUAUUCCUAAUUCCACCUGGCAUUUCCUCGCCCACACAAUCAUAGGAAAAGCAGAGAACAGGGAUCCAGCCCAGCAAAGAAGAAUUAAAUUGCACGUGGAUCCAUGAGGCUAAAGAGGGUAAAAAUGAUCCAGACGGCACCAGCCAUGUGAUACCAUUUCUAAAAACAGCAGUAUGUUCUCGCAGUGAUUGACUGAUUACUUAAACUGCAGUGUCUGAGUCUUCCAGCAGAUACAUGAAGCUUACUGGGGCUGAUUUCUGUGCAAAGCCCUCUUCAGCACCCAUGGAAAUGAGAGGCAGACAGAGACUCCUAGGUGUUGCCAUCACAAGAAAGGUGCCACUUCCCCAGGAUUUCAGAUCUCUCAACCAAAAUGAAGAGGAAAUUGUGGCAGAGAUGAAGUAUUGUGAAAGAUUGUGAGGACAACAUUUCUUGAUUACCUCUCAGUCCAACAAUGCACACACUAGACCUUGAGAUGGAUUAAAUGAUACCCCUUUCACAGAAUUGGAGAGAAUGUGCUUUUCUUGUGAGCCCUUAUACUGCUCUUGUAUAGAUUCUGAGACAAGUGGCUCUGGUUGCUUCUGUUCCCAGAGGUGGCCUCUUCUGUACCACGUGACCACCUCAGAUGACUGGAUGGAAGGUAGGUGUCCUGGCAUGAAGACUAAAUGGCAUUGCAGAUGACUAAUUGGAAGAACUGGACCAUAGUAUUUUCCCUCUUGGGGAAUCAGCAAGUGAGUCAUGGAGGCAGUGUGGGCAGUAGCUGGUAUGAAAGCUGCAGGCAAAUAUUAGGGAGUAGCAGAGGCAAGAGACAGCUGCACUAAGCAGGGGAGUCCCAAGGAGAUUCCCUGAUGUCUCCUGCCGAGAUGAUAAAGAAGGGACAGUCACCAGGGCUGCCUCAGAUCUUGAGUGAGCUUUCAGAUACCAGCUCUUCUCAUCACAGGGAGGCCAAGCUCUCCUGCAAUUCCUAUUUGAGUUGGUCAUCUUUCACUUUCUUCUGUCAGAUUUCUUUCUCCCUUCUUUUAGUUAUAGCAUCUCUAAUAUUCUUCCAGGGAAACAAUACUUCCCCACGUUCAGUCCAUUUGGGUUGGGUAGAGUGGACCCCAACUUUCAUUUCCAAGGGUCAGUAUGUGACCCAGGCCUGGAUAAUCAGAA
rnacentral:lncRNA from 1 species